GUAUUGGCCGAGAGCGCUACUUCCUCUCUGCUGGCCCCGCCCGCGGCUCUACUCUUGCUUCCGGCUCCGGCGUGGGGUUUGAUGUCGACGGAGUGGCUUUUGCUUAGCGUCUUGAAGGGGGGAAAAAAAAUCCUCUAAGCUGGUGAUUUCACGUUCUUUGACAAACUUCAAUAUCAACAGGCAACGAUACCACUUUAAGAAAAUUCCAAGGAAAAGACCUCAUUUUAAAAUUCCCACCUCUGGCUCCCAAAGAUUGGUUUGCAAACUUCGACAAAAUACUCUUCUCCACUCGCUAUUGGUGAGUGCUCUAUCAUUCAUUCUUUUGCCUGGAGUUUAGUGAGGUACCCGCUUGCUUUAUGGGAAAAGGCUGCUCCGGAACUGCCCUACUUUAGACUUUUUCAUGGUUAUCAAUCUGUACAAAGAAUCACCAAACUGAUAAAGCAGGAACCAGAGGGCAAAUCACGCUGCCAAGACAACUGUGUAAUUCGCUCGAAAAAGAAACGGUGAGCCUCUCCAGCAGACUGGGUACACUGGCAAAGGAUUUUACGACAUAGUUGGAGAUUGGAGAGUUACAGAAACUUUUCCGGUUUUUUACAAGUUUUAAAGGAGUGAUUGAGUGUCAAAGGAAAAGCAGAGAAAAUACAGGCACAAUUUAAAGACAGCAGGAAGAAGAGUGUUCAGAGAGCGUUUUUCUCUUUAGGGUGAAGUUUGAAAGCAUAUGCCCAGAUUAUCAGUGGAUUUUUGAAAGGUCUGGCAGAAGGAACAGUAUCAACUGACCGAGUAGGUGUCACUGGCAGUUGUGAUUCAGAGACCUAGAAAGCUGAACCCAUGCCUGGCAAGAAGAGGAUGGUUUGUGGGACCUGGGCUGAUGUCUGAUGAAAUUUUAAGCCCCAGCUAUAGCUACUACAAAGAAAAGUGGCUGAUGAUAAGCAUGUAACUCAAAAAGACAAUGUAUAUACAAAUAUGCAAGAAUCACAGGAAACCCACAUAUCCAACCACCUAGAUGAAGUUGUUGCUGCUGUUAGCAUCACUCAUAGAAAGAAGUUCCAAAACAAGCUGCUUCAGACAGCACUAUUCCAGCCUCCUCGAGAGAAACUCCACCUCUGUGAAGAGAAAGCAAAGUCCUAUUCCAACAGUCAUGAGUACAAACAGGCCGUCCACGAGCUUGUGCGUUGCGUAGCACUGACAAGAAUUUGCUAUGGAGACUCACAUUGGAAACUAGCAGAGGCACAUGUUAAUCUGGCUCAAGGCUACCUCCAGCUGAAAGGACUGUCACUGCAAGCGAAACAACAUGCAGAAAUAGCCAGACAAAUCCUCGCCAACUCCAUUGUGCCUCCCUAUAGUGAGAACACAGAUGUUUUCAAGUUUUCCAUUGAGCUUUUCCAUACCAUGGGCAGAGCUUUACUCUCCCUUCAAAAAUUUAAGGAAGCUGCAGAGAAUUUGACAAAAGCAGAGAGACUUUCAAAGGAGCUGCUACAAUGUGGAAGGAUUAUAAAGGAAGAAUGGAUAGAAAUUGAAGCACGAAUCAGAUUAUCAUUUGCACAGGUGUAUCAAGGUCAGAAGAAAUCAAAAGAAGCUUUGUCCCACUAUCAAGCAGCUUUGGAAUAUGUUGGGAUCAGUAAAGGUGAAACAAGUCAUGAGUGUGUACCCAUAUUGAGAGAAUUAGCAGGUGUAGAGCAAGCCCUGGGACUCCACGAUGUAUCCAUCAACCACUUCCUCCAGGCACAUCUCAUCAUCCUGAGUAGAAGCCCCUCUCAAGUGGAGGCAGCAGACUCGGCACACAUCGUCGCCCACGCUGCUGUCGCUUCAGGGAAACACGAGCACCAUGAUGUAGCUGAGCAGUAUUUUCAAGAGAGCAUGGCUCAUCUUAAGGAUUCUGAAGGGAUGGGAAGAACCAAAUUUCUUUCAAUUCAAGAUGAAUUUUGCCAUUUUCUGCAAAUGACUGGACAAAAAGAGAGAGCAACCUCGAUCCUGAGAGAGUCCCUGGAAGCCAAAGUGGAAGCAUUUGGCGAUUUCAGUCCCGAGGUGGCAGAGACAUACCGGCUCCUGGGAAGAGCAGACCUGGCGCAGGGGAACCACAGUGGGGCCCACAAGAAACUGAAGAAGCUUGAAAGACCUCAAAGACCUCAGGGAAAGACUGACGGGCCUGGCUUGAAUCCAGGGCCCACGCCUGGCUCAGUCAGCCAAGGCCAGGAGAAUGUGUCUCCAGAUCCAGACCCUCUUAUAUGGACCACAGGACAAAAGGACUCUGGCCACCCAGCAGGCCAUGGGCAUGCUGUCCACGUGAGUUGGCGUCCCUCACACUUUCUCUAUCUCAUUCCCUUUCCAUUCAGAAUCUCAAGAGGAAGCUGGUUCUAGAAGGUUCUGUGUAACCUUCUCUGGAAUGUUUUGCUGACUUCCCAUAACUUGCAUAAAGGACAAGUUCCUUUGAAACCCGAGUUGUAAAAGAUCUUCCUUGCCCAGGGCCCCCAAGGUUGCUUCGAAGCCAAAGCAGGCAUCAAAAGCCAAAGUGGCCUUCUGCACCAGCAUCCCUCAGGACACCCUGCUGGGGAAGGCCCGGCCCGGCACAACAGCAGACUGAGGCCCCCACCCUGAAAAAGCCUAGGACAUUCCUGGGCACUGUCAUUUAGGGUGCUGUACAAAUCACCUCCACCUAGAAAAUGGAAUUCAACAGUCAGGAUACAGAUUUCCAAGGCCAACUGUUGGCCCCAACAUGCAACAGUGAGACCGUAAGCCUCCCGUGGGCCACAUUUUGACAGUGGAUGCCCUUCAGGGUGAUAUAUGCUAUAAAGCAGUUUUCUAUCACCUAAGUGGUUUUUCUUGCCAACAAGAAUUUUUACCCAUCAGCACUACUGUGGCUGAAAAUCUUCUCUUCAACAGUUCAGUGCGCUCUGUGCAGGAGUCAGCCCGGCAUCUGCUUGUACACACAGCUCCUUGCAUAGGUGUGGAGUUAGAUCUGGACAGUGAACUUCAGGAAGGAAGUCCUUUCUUAGAGGAGGCUAACAGGGAUUGAGAAUAACAUGAGAAGAAAACGCUAAUAAAGGGAAACCCGAACGCGCUGCUGUCAGCAUGUGUUUUCAAAGUGCAGCCUGCCUCUGAGUUCUUCGGAGCCUGAAAAGGGGUUUGGGAAAGAGCCCAGUAGGAGGGGCAGGAGGCCAACACACCUGACUUGGCCUGGGGCCCAGGAGGCAGGUGUAAGGGAGUGAAAAGAAAGGCUAGCAGGAGGCUGCGGGGGGAAGACCGCAGACUCCCUGCUGCUUCGCAUCCCUCCUGUGGCCUCCACUGCAGGCAGGACAAACCUGGACGCCACCUGGAGCUGCUUCCUGAGUUGGCACACUAUCGUGUACACAGCAGUCUUCAGCCCCCUGGAAGGAGGCCAUAGUCGUGUGAGGAUGGCAAAGUCGAACAGGAAGCUUUGAGUGCCUUUCUCCACGAUGUCAACGAGGAGGUCCAGUGCCAGAUCAAGGUGGAUGGAACACCCAGGGGUAGGGGUGCAGGUGUGGGCGGUGACGUCCCUGCCCCUCCCUCCCCUGGUCCCACAGACUGUGGCCAUGAGGCUGCAGGCUGGUGCUAUGACAGGAGAUUGCAGCACAGGGCCCUCCCCUCCAGCCCCCAGUGGGACAUCAAAACCCCCCUGGGGCCAUUUGUGCAGGGCACCACCUCCAGUAUUGAUAGGGAAAAUAAACUCAGUAGAGCCACGACAGGGUGGAGAGAAGCAGGGACCAUUGUCUUCCUCAGGAGCAUGACAGCUGACCCCACAGACCAUGCUUGCUGGUACACACUGGUCCCAGACCCAGGCCUGUCGGACAUCAGCAGUGUGCUAAAAAGGUGUAAGAUGUGGUCACUACUCACCGUGUGUCCUAUCUAGUUGACAUGGGUGGAGUCAGCUAAGGGGUGAAUGUUCAUAUGCUCCCAAUUCACGUUGAAGCCCUAAUCCCCAAAGGGAUGGUAUUAGGGGGUGGGGCCUUGGAGAGGUGAUUAUGUUAUGAGGGUGGAGCCCUGAUGAAUGGGAUUAGUGCUUUAUAAGGAGAGACACCAGAGAGAUGAUCUCUCUCUCCACCAUGUGAGGACACAGUGAGAAGACAGCUGUCUGCAGGCCAGGAAGAGAGCCCUCACCAGGAAGUGAAACUGUUGGCACCUUGAGACUUCCCAGCUUCCAGAACUGUAAGAAAUAAAUGUUUGUUGUUUAAGCCUUUCAGGCUAUGGCUUUCUGUUACAGCAGCCUGAACUGAGAGUCCGUGCCGAGUUUUUGAAAUAAAUGUGAAUUCUGAUGUUA